rnacentral:rRNA from 1 species
GUGGGGAAUCUUGCGCAAUGGGCGAAAGCCUGACGCAGCCAUGCCGCGUGGAUGAUGAAGGUCUUAGGAUUGUAAAAUCCUUUCACCGGUGAAGAUAAUGACUGUAGCCGGAGAAGAAGCCCCGGCUAACUUCAUGCCAGCAGCCGCGGUAAUAUGACGGGGGCUAGCGUUGCUCGGAUUUACUGGGCGUAAAGGGCGCGUAGGCGGACAUUUAAGUCAGGGGUGAAAUCCCGGGGCUCAACCUCGGAACUGCCUUGGAUACUGGGUGUUUUGAGUAUGAGAGAGGUGUGUGGAACUCCGAGUGUAGAGGUGAAAUUCGUAGAUAUUCGGAGGAACACCAGUGGCGAAGGCGGCUCACUGGCUCGAUACUGACGCUGAGGUGCGAAAGCGUGGGGAGCAAACAGGAUUAGAAACCCGAGUAGUCC